CAGCAUGUUAAUACAGUGACAGCAGGUUAAUUCAGUGACAGCAUGUUAAUACAGCGACAGCAUGCUAAUACAGCGACAGCAGGUUAAUACAGCAUGUUAAUACAGCGACAGCAGGUUAAUACAGCAUGUUAAUACAGCGACAGCAGGUUAAUACAGCAUGUUAAUACAGCGACAGCAGGUUAAUACAGCUUGUUAAUACAGCGACAGCAGGUUAAUACAGCUUGUUAAUACAGCGACAGCAGGUUAAUACAGCAUGUUAAUACAGUGACAGCAGGUUAAUACAGCAUGUUAAUACAGUGACAGCAGGUUAAUACAGCAUGUUAAUACAGUGACAGCAGGUUAAUUCAGUGACAGCAGGUUAAUACAGCGACAGCAUGUUAAUACAGUGACAGCAGGUUAAUACAGCGGCAGCAGGUUAAUACAGCAUGUUAAUACAGUGACAGCAGGUUAAUUCAGUGACAGCAUGUUAAUACAGUGACAGCAGGUUAAUACAGCGACAGCAGGUUAAUACAGUGACAGCAGGUUAAUACAGCAUGUUAAUACAGUGACAUCAGGUUAAUACAGCAUGUUAAUACAGUGACAUCAGGUUAAUACAGCAUGUUAAUACAGUGACAGCAGGUUAAUACAGCAUGUUAAUACAGUGACAGCAGGUUAAUACAGCAUGUUAAUACAGUGACAGCAGGUUAAUACAGCAUGUUAAUACAGUGACAGCAGGUUAAUUCAGCGACAGCAGGUUAAUACAGUGACAGCAUGUUAAUACAGUGACAGCAAGUAAUACAGCAGGUUAAUACAGCGACAGCAUGUUAAUACAGUGACAGCAGGUUAAUAUAGCAGGUUAAUACAGCGACGGCAGGUUAAUACAGCAGGUUAAUACAGCGGCAGCAGGUUAAUGCAGCAGUACAGUAUGUUAAUACAGCAAUAUCAGGUUAAUACAGCGACAGCGGGUUAAUACAGUGAAGGCAUGUUAAUACAGCGACAGCAGGUUAAUACAGCGACAGCAGGUUAAUACAGCGACAGCAGGUUAAUACAGUGAAGGCAGGUUAAUACAGCAUGUUAAUACAGUGACAGCAGGUUAAUACAGCAUGUUAAUACAGCGACAGCAUGUUAAUACAGUGACAGCAUGUUAAUACAGUGACAGCAAGUUAAUACAGCAGGUUAAUACAGCGAUAGCAGAUUAAUACAGCGACAGCAUGUUAAUACAGUAGACCAUUUGCUCCAUGUCCUAGUCAUAUUUUAUCUUAACGAGAGGGCUGCUGCCACAGCUUAGUGCCUCUGCACAGAAACAGACAGAAAGAAAUAGAAAGAGAGAGCAGGAGAGAGAGCGAGGUAAUACAGACAGAAUGACAUGGGGGAGGAGAGGUAAUACAGACAGAAUGACAUGGGGGAGGAGAGGUAAUACAGACAGAAUGACAUGGGGGAGAGAGAAAGAAGGUACGUUUAGGGAAGAAGAGAGUGUAAUAAUGUUGUAUAUUAUACAAUAGGGCUGUUUGUCACGUCGGGGGGGGGGGAUGAGGCUCAACACUUCCCCUGCUGGGUGGAAGAGUGUGUGAGGUGAGCGCGAGGGCCUAGCUGUGAUAGGUCGGAGGGUCUAGCUGUGAUAGCAUACGGGCCCCAGGGUGGCAGGGACUCCCACAGAUAUGACGCAUCCUGCCUGGGAGAGCUCUUUACUCCAGAGUGGGGCCAGCAGGCCUUUCUCUUGGAUAACACUCUCAACUAGAGGGACUUCCUUGAACUAGAUCUAUAGUCUAGUACUAAUAUUAUCAUCUGUACAUCUGUCCAUUAAUCCAUGAGGCUGUUUACCC
rnacentral:lncRNA from 1 species